UUCGAGGGAGAAAGUAACAUUUUCAUUUUUACGUAACAAAGUCAUCUAGAGACAAACCUUCUCUUGUUUUCUCACAGCUUUGGGGAAACUUCAGAGGACACGGCUUGGUCUGUUCAUUAUGCUAACUAUAGCUGCCUAUAAAUAAGAGGGUUGACCUCAAUUGUGUGAGUAAAAGAACUGCUAUACUUGUGUUCCUUUCUGUAAUAACGAAAGCCUCUUACUUAAUUCAGUGUCUCUACUUCUUCAGCAAAAUAAAAAUAAAUUCUUUAUCGAAAUACACCCAACUUUUCCAUUUUUCUUAUAAAAAUGACACCACGUUAGGAUGGGAUUGUGCUUGUGUUGUGUCAUUGAUCUAUCCAUAUUUGUUUUUCCCAAAAACAAUUUCCAUGAAGGAGGAUGUUUUGCUGCUUGUUAGUGCACGCUAUUUAAGCACAAGACAUGAUUGAGAUUUAUGCAAGGUAUGUGGUAGAAUUUAUGUAAGACGACCGAUGAUUCAUUAGGAAAGCUAGACAUGAGAGUCAGUAAGUUUUACUAUGGUGAUCAACGCGUUGAAGAAAAAUUUUAGAAUUUUUAUUAUAAGUGGUGCAUACAAAAGUUGGUGAGUCGAGCUUGUACUCAAAUACUAGCUCAUGUAUUAGGAGUUGCCUUAGCCUUACGUUAUUAAUCUAGUAACUAAUAUUAGCGAUGUGAAAUAUUUUUUCUAUCAUCUUCCAUCAUAUGUGUGUAGGUCAAUCUUUUUGUUUGGUCCUUGUCUUGUGAUAAGAUAGUGUUAGUGAUUUUGAGAGAAAAUAUGAAAAACACAAACAAUGAAAAUUCCCUUUUACUUAAACUAAGACACAGAUUUUUUCACAGUGAAGUUGAUAGAAGACACUCGAAUGCGCAGGAGUGAAAUCUUGACAAAUUAAAGCGAGAACUAAGACAUGCUAGUCCUUUCUCGCGCAUUUAGUUGACAUUAUUUUGCUUUGCAAAUAAAUGGCUAAAUGCGGGCAUGGUUGAAGGCAUUUUAUCUUUCCGGAAGUGGAUGGAGAAAUAAAUAUAAUUAAAAGGGAUGCGAAUAAUAAAUGCCAGUUUUUCUUAAUAACGAAGAAUAUAUUAGAAAUAAAUUGAAAUGUAACAAAAUACUUGAAAUAAUUCAAGUGAUUGGUUUUUUCUCCGUCAAUAACGCUUGAUAGUUCCUUGUCAUGAGCUUCUUAUCUUCUGUCUUGAAGGAAGAAAUUGCAAAAGACGAAUAAAACGAUUUCCUUUACACAUUCAAUCAAUGCUGCUGCCUUCAUAUCUUUAUUAUUCUCGGAGGGAUGAUACUGUUGAGAGCCGAAACCAUUACCCAUUCUCACUCCUCUUAUGGCCAUUUCUAACCCUCUACAAUAAUUUCGAUAUUGCUGUUCUUCAGUUCUUCCACUAUUCAACAAAUGCGAAGGUAUGCGAUGGCUCCACUCAAUCAAGUUGAUUUUACAUUUGUUACAAUCUACUCCCGCCAUUGCUAGAGCCUCUAUGGACAUGUUUUAACAAGGUGAAGGUGGAGCUAAAUAAAAUUCACAAUUUUCCUGAAAGUUUACAGCUUCCAGGAAAUUCACCACCUCUAUAGAAUUGUAAUAAUAAGAAUUGUGGUCUCCGUAAAAGAAUUUAUAAGAGUUAAUAUAAAAGAUUUGUUUAGGAGAAUGAAUUUUAUACGGACUAGAAAUAUUCAUGAUUAAUUGGUUAUUCAGAUGGUUUAGAAAUCCUCUCGAUAUUAGGAAGCCAUUUAAGAUUCUGAUUAUUGUUGUUCUAAAUAUUAGUUUGCACCAACUUCCAAUUCCACAAUUACUCUAACAGCGGUUUUCACGGACUUAUUUAUGUAUCUGAAUCUUUGUAUUCAUGAAAGAAUAAUCUCUUGCAAACGCACAACUUCAAUUAUGAAUCAACUACCUAGCAACCAUUUCUUUACUUUUAAUUGCUUUGGAAAUUAAGGAUUCGUCAGCUGCCAAAUUCUGCAGUGAUUCUUUUUUUUUUUGGUACGUUGGAGCCUAGUAAAACUAGGCUAAAACAGAACGGGGAAUAGAGGUCCCAUAUAUAUCAUUACAUAACCAAUAACCAAGACCCUCAGGGGGAUUUUCAAAGACAUGAAGUCCAAGGGGUAAGGAACCAGCAAGUUUCGCCAUGGAAUCUGUAGCAAAAUUGGCUUCCCGAUAUAUAUGCUUUAUGGUAAUGAGCCAUUGUCUAUUCAUCAGUUCCUUUAUGGCAGUUAUGAGAGAAAAAUGUGCAUUAGACAUCAAGCUAGUAGAGGAAAUAAGUUGGGAAAUACAUUGGCUAUCCACCUCUGCAAUUAAAUAACGAAUGCCACGGUCCCAAGCAAUAUUAAGUCCUUGAAAAAAACCCUAAAGUUCUGCAGUAGUCACCCAUCCAAAUCCAAUGUUCAUGCCAAAGCCAAACUGCCACUUUCCGGAGCAUUCCCUCACCAAGCCCCCAGCGCUGGCUAGACCAUUCUUUAAUCGUGAUCCAUCAGUAUUUAAUUUGAAAAAAGAUUCAGGGGGAGCUUGCCAUCUAACAUCUUUGAUGAUCUUAUUAGUUUGACCGAAACUAAGAGUUGAUCGUGCAUUUUGAAUGUCUUGAACCCAAGAUUUAAUUUCAGCAACAACAUGAGUGCAUCAAGGGGAUUUUUGUGAGAAAAGAAAUUGAUUCCGCAGUGAUUCUGUUGCAUUGGAUGUCUUCAAUUUCCUUUUGCAUUCAAUUAUUUGUUGAACUAUUUAUGCACGAGUGGAGGAGGAAUUCUAGAAUACAUUUGAAAUAAUACAAUCAACCAAUGCAUGCACACCACUUGUAUGGAGAUUUUUCAAAAAUAAAUGUACACAUGUCAUAACAUUAUCUACUUGUUAUAUGACUGACAUGAUAUUUUUUAUGUAUUCUAAAUUUUUUCUGCGUGGAGACCAUGAGUGGUAACAUCCUCAUGACAAAAGAGUAUUACAAAGAGAGAAUCACUUGUCAAUUUAAAUAUUUAUUGUAUUGAAACUACUAAGUAUAUAAGCUCGGACAACCCUAAUUUCAUGAAGAGGGGUUAAAGACAAUACUAUUCUAAAAGAAAAUGGAACGAAAUCGUCCAUCCAUAGCCAUUAUUUGACUUUUAGAUUUGCCCUUCCAAAUUUUAACAAAAUGCGCAGACGAUUUUUAAUUUAUUUAUGUGAGCGAAGUACAACAAAAUUACUGAACCAAUCAGAACCAAGAUGGAAAUGAUCAUAAGCAAAAGUAAUUGGAAGGACGAAUGGAAGCAGAUAAAUUAUUCUAAUUAAGAAGGAUAUUUACUAGGAUCAUACCUUAAUCACUUUAUUAUAAAUUAAAAAUGUCCGUACAAAAACUGCCGCAAAUUAAUUAAACUAUUGGAAAAAGAAAACUUGUAGACAAAAUCUCAAUGAAUUUUAAGCCCAUUUGGCUAACAAAGACAUGCAACCAGCGCCUAAAAGAAGAGAAACAUUUGCUCCAAACUGAAGCCUUUUAUUGGUUUGCAUCUUUGGAUUCAUAAAAUCUGCAGCAAGAAGACCCACCAAGGACAUGUAUAUUAGGAUUCCGGCUGCCGCUGCAUUGAAUAUUCCUUCAACAAUAAGAGCAGUGGGGCUAUUUUCGUCAUAAACACUUGAUAUUCCAAUGCCUAAUUUUACACUAAUUUGAUCAUUUUGUAAUAUAAAAAUUUGACAAUUGAAAAACAAAUCAACUUUUUUUUUCUUAAAAGAAAACGAAUCAACUUUUAAAUUCAUUUUGAAGUAAAAAAAAAAGUUGACAGUAAAAUACUAUUAACGUAAGGGGAUUUCAGUAAAUUUUAGAACAUGAGAGAUAAAUGACUAAUUUUACAAGACAAAGGGGGUUAAUUUUCUCCUAAAAAAAAUUAGGUAUUGGUUGAUGACUUUUAAAAAACAGACUACUCUUUAUAAUUAUUUGUUUUAAUUUUCUUUUUGUUCGACCAAAACUCGCAUGGUAUUGGGAUAUACCUAAAUUUGAUGUAAAAUUAGGGAUUAGUUAAAUGAAAUAAUUUAAACACUGCAUAAAAUCUGCCUUUGUCGAUGCUAUCUCACUGUCUUAAGGCCUAACUUCUUGAAAUUUUUUCUGAAAGAUACAACAGGAUCACUUAUCCACAAGCCUAGUCAGCAACUUAGACACUAUUUUCAGCAUUAGCAUUGACAUAAGAACAAAACGUACAAUUGAGCUUUUUAAAAAACAUUGCAGUUGAUUGGAUUGUUAAUAAGUAUGGCACCAUAUGGAUGAUAAAAUUAAGCAGGAAGAAAGAAAAAAUAAAUUUUAUUAUGCAAAAAAUAAACUACAAACUAGGCACAAUAAAUAAAUAAAAAUAAAUUUUAUUAUGCAACCCAGAAUUCUCCUUUGCUGUCUGCCUCAAUGUUGUCCGGAAAUUUUUGGAGCUGAGCAAAAGGUUGUGGAGGGCACAUAGCUCUAUGGUCAUGGAGCCAAAACCUCAGAACUCGCAUUGAGAUGGAUUCAGCCACUAAGAGGAACGUCUUGUCCUUGAUUAGGGCAACUCCAUUUGGAAAUGCCAAACCUCUGUACAUGAUUGUCACCUCAUUGCUGUGUGGAUCAUACUUCAAGUAACUUCCCGCUUCUGCCUCCGUUAUCGAUUACAGAAGAAUAUUGCCUACAAGAAUAGUAAUUCGGUGUAAGCAUUGUCAAAUAUUAAUCUGGAAUUGAUGAACAAGAAUUAAGAAAAGAAAAUAUCCUUCUUUGAAAAUACAUGCUACUGUCAGUAAAAUAAACGACUCCAGUACUAGGAUCGAUAUCCAAGGCAUAUACAUGCUACUGUCAAUAAAAAAAGAAAGAAAAAUAUAAAUAAAUUAUCAAAUAAAAAAAUAUAAAUAAAUGGCACGUAAUGUUUAUUUUUCAUUUAUAAUAAAGUUUAAUAUACCAAAUGACUGGUGAGGUACCACCAUACCAGGCGGUGCAUGGAAAGAUGGGGAAUUUGGGACUUCCAGUGCGGCGAGAGACUGAGCAUGAGGGUGCUGCAGCGGCUGGGCAUCACUUAUGAGGUAGCUACUUAAUGACCUGAUCAGUUGAGUUUUGGGGAAUUUGGAUUUUGGAUCAAUUAGUUAGGGAGUUGAGUGAGUUUUGUAACUUUAAGAAAAUAUAAUUUGACUGUAAUUAUUAGUUAUAUCUUUAUUUUUUUACGAUAAGUUUUAAUAAGAGUAAAUUUACAAUUAACUAUUAUUAUUAAAAAAAAACCUUAGCCUCCUCUUACCUCCGCCCUUGGUACCUGCUAAAACCAAAUACCCAAAUUAUGAAAACGAAGAGCGAGACGAUAUGUUACUGGAUUGCUAUCAAAAUUUGAAGCUAGAACUUAGCAAUUGCCCAAAGAUAAAGAUUUGCUAAGAUUUUAGACCCACAGACUUUUUAUUACCAAUUUAUCUUCUUUCCUUUAAGAAUGAUGGUGAUUUGUAGAGCCAUGCCCUGUAUUCAAAAUAAACAAAUUUGAAGAAUAUAUCUGUUGAUUCCGGUAGGGCAGGAGUCUCAUGCACAAGUUUCUCAUCUAUUUUCUUACCAGAACAAAUUUCUAGUCAAAAUGAGGGUGUGAAAGGAAGAUAAAUAGACGAAAUUUGGCCCACCACUUCAUUCUUCCUAAAUGAAUAGCUUUUUACCCUAUUAAACGAGGAAAAAUGGAUUAGAUUCUCCCUUAAUUUGAUCUGAUUAGUGAUUACUAAAUAAAGACCACACACUUUAUUGUAGUGUGUUUCGUCAUUUAAUACAUUGAAGUUUGUAUGUGGCCCUAGUUUUAGAUCACUUAAUUGGAAAGGGACUUCCUUUUUUUUUUGAUACAUUGGAGUCUAGUAAAACUAGGCUAAAACAAAACAGGGAAUAGAGGUUCCAUAUAUAUCAUUACAUAACUAAUAACCAAGACCCUUGGAGGGGUUUUCAAAGACAUGAAAUCUAAGGGGUAAGGAACCAGCAAGUUUCGCCAUGGAAUCUGCAGCAAAAUUGGCUUCCCAAUAUAUAUACUUUAUAGUAAUGAGCUAUUGUCUAUUUAUCAGUUCCUUUACGGCAGUUAUUGUUAUAAGUGAAUAUGAAAUAGUUCAUUCAAAGCAAGGAUAAAUGGAUGAAAGUACUACUAAUUUUAUUCACAAUGAGGUUGCCUUUUAUAGGCGUUACAUGAACAAACUUAACGAAAUAAUAGCAGCCAUUAUUCAGCAAAUAUUGCAGCCACUUUCCAGUAACCCUAGCCUAAAGACUAGGUAAACACAAUCUUGCAAAUAACAUUACCAACAAACUUCCUAAAGACUAGGACCAUAAAAGCAACUUAUUGACACAAGGAAAUUCCAACAAUCCCUCCCUUAAACUAAAUGUUAUUAACAUUCAGUUUAAACAUUCUGCAGAAUCUUCCUCAAAUUGUAAUUUACAAACUCCAAGUGACUUUCUCAACUUCAAAAAACUAGCCAAUUUGAGGGGUUUAGUAAAGAUGUCAUCAACUUGGUCUUCACUCCUGCAAUAAACAAGAUCAAUGACUUCAUUUUUUGUCAAGUCUCGCAAGAAAUGGUAUCUCACAUCUAUGUGCUUGCAUCUUCCAUGUAGAACCGGAUUCUUUGAAAGUUUAAUUGUUGAACUAUUAUCACAGAAGAUUUGUGUUGACUCUGGUUGCUUAAACUGAAGUUCAUGAAGAAUAUUUCUCAAUCAAAGUGCUUGACAUGCACAAGAAGCUGCUGCAACAAACUCAGCCUCAGUUGUUGACAAAGUAACUAUCGGUUGCUUCUUAGAUGACCAUGAAAUAGCUGCUGAACCAAACAUAAAUACAUAUCCAGAUGUGCUUCUUCUGUCAUCCAAAUCUCCAGCAUAAUCACUGUCUGCAAAGCCAUACAAAUAUGAUUUUUUACCCUUUUUGUAGAACAACCCAAAUUCAGCAGUACUACGCAAGUAUCGAAGAAUUCUCUUUGCAGCUAAAAGAUGAUCCUCUCUUGGACGCUCCAUAUAUAUGCUGAUGGCACUAACUGCAUGCAUUAUAUCAAGUCGAGUUGCCAUUAAGUACAUCAAGCUUCCAGCAAUAUGUUUGUAAAGGGUACUAUCAACUAUUCUUUCUACAAGAUCCUUAACAAGCUUAAAUCCUUUUUCAAUUGGAGUAGUGACAGAGUUGCAGUUCUUCAUUUGAAAUCUUUCUAAGAUCUCUUCCACAUAUUUCUUUUGACAAAUAAAAUUUCCAGCAUCAGAUUGUAUGACUUCUAAGCCAAGAAAAUAAUGCAGCAAACCAAGAUCAGUCAUAUCAAAUUCAAGCAUAAUGGAUUCCUUGAAUUUCUCAAACAUUACUAUGUCAUUUCUCGUGUAAAUCAAAUCAUCUACAUAUAAGCAUACCAUAAGCAUUUUCCCAUCAUCUCCAAUUUUUAUGUACAGAGUAUGCUCAUAUGGGCAUUUUCGAAAACCUUCCUUCAAGAAAUAAGCAUCUAUAUGACUAUACCAAGCUCGGGGUGCUUGUUUUAGUCCACAUAGAGCUUUUUUCAAUUUAUAGACUUUAUGCUCACUGCCUAAUUUCACAUAUCCAGGAGGCUGUUCGAUAAAUACCUCUUCUUGUAGCUCCCCAUGCAAGAAUGCUGAUUUCACGUCUAGUUGAAAAACAUGCCAUGAAUUUUGUGCUGCAAGAGCAAUAAUCAAUCUGAUCGUUUCAAGUCUUGCAACGGGAGCAAAUACUUCCUUAUAAUCCACGCCAAACUCUUGCUUGUAGCCUUUGGCGACUAGGCGUGCCUUGUAUUUAUCAAUUUCACCAUUUUCCUUCAAUUUUGUCUUGUAAACCCACUUGACUCCUAUUGUCCUCUGCCCCAUUGGAAGUUCAGUCAACUCCCAAGUAUUAUUUUUUUCAAUGGCUGCAAUUUCUUCGUCUAUGGCUUUUAGCCAUUUUUGUUCUUUGACAGCUUCUUUAAAAGUUGUAGGAUCACAUUCUGAAAACAAGGCAAAGUGUAUGAGUGGAUUCUCAAGAGUGUUAAAUCCUGUUACCUCAUAAUCUAACAUCCAUGCAGGCCUUCUUUUAUCACGUUGAGAACGUGAAUCUGUAGCUUCAACUUGUUCAUCAAGUUUAUUUGUUGCUGGUGGAGUUUCUGCUGAGACUCUAUUUUGCGGCAGGUCAGGAGCAGAGACUGUUGAAGGCUGAAGUUGCUGUGAAUUUUCUUCAAUUUCACCAUCGAAAUCUGCUGGAAUUUACUGCCCAACAGAACUGCAUCUCCACAUCCAUGUCUUCUCUUCAUAAAAAAUGACAUCACGACUAAUGACAAUUUUCUUGAUGAUGGGAUCAUAUAAUUUGUAGGCCUUUGAAUGAUCACUAACACCAAGAAAAAUGCACUUUACACCUUUGUGAUCUAAUUUUCUUCUUUUCUCAUCUGGUACGUGGACAUAUGCUAUACAUCCAAAUACCCGAAAGUGAUCUACUGCCGGCUUACAUCCACUCCAUGCUUCUUCAGGAGUUAUAUUUUGAACAGCUAUUGUGGGGCUUCUGUUCAAAAUAAAAAAACACUCCAAACAAUUGCUUCAGGCCAAAAACUUUUGGGAAGACCACUCCUCUGCAGAAGGCUUCGUACCAUAUUAAGAAUUGUAUGAUUUUUCCUCUUGCAUACACCAUUUUGCUGAGGUGUGUAGGCUGCUGUCAAUUGUCUUCUAAUUCCAUGAUUUUCACAAAAGCUUCCAAAUUCUUGAGAGUUGAACUCUCCACCAGGAUCAGUACGAAUAUUUUAAUUUGGUUGUCAACUUCUCUUUCAACUAGUGCUUUAAACAUUUGAAAGGCUGUGAAAGCUUCCGAAUUUUCUUGCAAGAAAUAAACCCAGGUUUUUCGACUAAAAUCAUCAAUAAAUGAGAUAAAAUAUCGUUUACCUCCAUUUGAUGUUGGCUUGAUUGGCCCACAUAAGUCAGAAUGCACUAGCUCCAACACUUUCUUUGCCCUCCGGGAUUUUCCUUUUGGAAAAUUAUCUCGAUGUUGCUUACUGACAAUACACUCUUCGCAAAGCUGUGAAGGUUGCUCAAAUUGUGGAAGGCCUACCACCAUAUUUUUCUGCUGCAAGGUCUUCAAUCCACCAAAACUAAGAUGCCCGUAACGAAAGUGCCAUAACCAUGCUGUAUCUUUGAAAUUUGCAGCAAAACAUGAGUGUGCAGUAUGGUGAAGAUACAAUGGAAACAUUCUGUUUGCCGUCAUUUUCACUUGAGCAAUUAAGCCUAAUUUUUCAUCAUGGAUUCGGCAAACUGCUUCCUUGAUAGAGAUCUCAUAGCCCUUUUCUUGUAACAGGCCAACACUGAGAAGGUUAGUUUUCAGUUCAGGAACGAAUAGAACAUUUGAGAUAGAAUGAGAACUUUCCUUGGUUUGGAUUGCAACCCUUCCUUUCCCUAUGACAGAAACUGUGGAGUCAUCACCAAAUUUUACAAUAUUUUGAAAAGUCUCAUCCAAGUCAGAAAAAGCAGAUUUAUCCCCACACAUAUGAUUGCUGCAACCGGUAUCUAAGUACCAUAGAUUUUGGUGACUUUCCUCCUUUGUAUGACAUGCCAUAAGAAGGGAAAUUUCUUCUUCCUCCUUUUCUGCAAAGUUAUAUUUCUCGCCACGAUUCUUAUUUAAAUUAGUACGGCACUCGGAGCGGUAAUGACCGUACUUCUAACAACGUAAGCAUUUAACAUUCGAUUUGUCUUUAGACUUUGGUUUAUGUCCUGUCGAAUUCUGACCAUCACAAUCCUUUCCUUUUCCUUGAGAAUCAUCAACCUUUUCUUCUGAUCUGUUCUGCCCAUUCUUGCCUUUCCAACCUCGUUUACCCCCUCCAGUUGGUUUGAGAUUUGCUGCUGCCUGUAAUGCCUGUUCUUCCUUAUCCUAUCGGAUUACUUUCUGCUCAUGGACUAGCAAAGUUCUUUCCAAUUCAUCAAUUGAAAGUGUGUCAAUAUCCCUUGAUUCCUCAAUCGCACAAACAAUAUAGUUAAAUUUUGCCGUUAAAGAUCAAAGAAUCUUCUCAAUUAUGAUAACAUCCUCGAGCUGCUCGCCAUGAAUUCGUCUCUUAUUUGCGAUUGCCAUUGUCCUUGCAAAGUAUGCUGAGACCGACUCUCCCAUCUUCAUUCGUAGAGAUUCAAAUUCAGCUCGAAGUGUCUGGAGGUGUACCCGUUUUGCCCUUGUUGUCCCUUGGUACUUCUUUUUCAAGGAAUCCCAAAUUUGUUUGGAGGAGUCUUUGUUAAGAAUUGUUUCCAAGAUUGAGCGAUCAAUAGCUUGGAACAAGUAAUUCUUUGCCUUGAGAUCCUUUAAUCGUUGCCCUUCAAGCUCUAUUUUCUGAGCAUCCGUCAAAACAACACCGGCUGGUGGUUCAGUUAUUCCAAUUGAAACAACCUGCAAAUACUCCUUGGACCUUAAGAAAUUCUCCAUCAACAUGCUCUAAUGGUCAUAGUGACCAUCAAAGCGGGGAAUUACAGGUUGAACAAAAUUCUCAGAAGCCAUGAAUUUCUGCUGCUGCAACACGAGUGAAAAAAGAGCCAAGUAAGCUGCUGUUACUAACUCUGUCAAUUCCACUUUUCUAAUUCAAGCUCUGAUACCACUGUUAUAAGUGAAUAUGAAAUAGUUCACUCAAAGAAGGAUAAAUGGAUGAAAGUACUACUAAUUUUAUUCACAAUGAGGUUGCCUUUUAUAGGCGUUACAUGAACAAACUUAACGAAAUAAUAGCAGCCAUUAUUCAGCAAAUAUUGUAGCCACUUUCCAGUAACUCUAGCCUAAAGACUAGGUAAACACAAUCUUGCAAAUAACAUUACCAACAAACUUCCUAAAGACUAGGACCAUAAAAGCAACUUAUUGACACAAGGAAAUUCCAACAGUUAUGAGAGAAAAAAUGUGCAUUAGGCAUCAAGCUAGUAGAGGAAAUAAGUUGGGAAACACAUUGACUAUCCACCUCUGCAAUUAAAUAACGAAUGCCACGGUCCCAAGCAAUAUUAAGUCCUUGAAAAAGACCCCAAAGUUCUGCAGUAGUCACCGAUCCAAAUCCAAUGUUUAUGCCAAAGCCAAACUGCCACUUUCCAGAGCAAUCCCACACCAAGGCCCCAGCGCUGGCUAGACCAUUCUUUAAUCGUGAUCCAUCAGUAUUUAAUUUGAAAAAAGAUUCAAGGGGAGCUUGCCAUCUAACGUCUUUGAUAAUCUUAUUACUCUAACCGAAACUAAGAGUUGAUCGUGCAUUUUGAAUGUACUGAGCCUAAGAUUUAAUUUCAGCAACAACAUGAGUGCAGCAAGGGGAUUUUUGUGAGAAAAGAAAUUGAUUACGCCAAAACCAAAUUUUCUAGAUAGCCGCUCCAAAUAAACAUGCCCAUUCAUCCCCCACUUCAUUGAUACCAGUCGUUCCCAAGUUGAAACAGAGCCAAUCACGAAAAUUAAAGGAGAAAAAAUGAUGUCUGAAGUUGACCGGAAUUAAACAAUUCCAUAUUCUCUUUGCAACAAAACAGUCCCUAAGUGCAUGCAUCGCGUUUUCUCUCUCAUGGCCACAUCUUUCAGUAUUCAUUUUAUCAAGAAUAUGCCUCUUAAAAAGCUCCUCUCUAGUUUUAAUUUUUCCAUGCAUCACCAACCAUAAAAAAAUUUUAACUCGUUGGGGCCGGGAAAGGGACUUCCUUAAUUAUUUUUCAAAAGCACAUCCUAUAAAACUCCAACAGAUGGAGUCCAAGUUCUAGAAGAGAUGAACAAAUGAUGUCAAUUAAAUGGCAAUAGCUCGCCAAAGAAGACAGAGAAACAAGUUAGGAGAGAUUCUAGAGUGUACCAAAAGUAUUACAUUUAAUAUAUAUAUAUAUAUAUAUAUUUUAUGUGUGUAUUUAUUUUAAAAAAUUAUUAUGUAAUUAAUUAUUAUAUUUAAUUAAACUAUACAUAUCAUAUAUGUAUUAGUUAUAUGUAGCACUUAUAUUAUACUCUAGAAUUUCUCACAAGAUAAUAUGUCAAUAUACCACAAACACAAAGUUUGAAUCCUGUGAAAUAUGUUUAAAAUUGACUCUUGCAGAAAUUAUUAUGCGGUGGUGAAAUGAUUAUGAUAAAUAAUAUAUUAACACAUGUCAAUAUAUAAUUAUGCUACAUCAAUGAGGGUACCAUUGGUUUCACAUUUUUAUUUUACGUCUUAACUUUUGUAUUGACAAUAUUAGUUUUGUAUUUUAUACACAUAUAUAUAACUAGUAAGUUAUUUUUUGCAAUCAAUAAAUAUCUAAUAACUCAAUACUUUUAUAUUUAUGCUCAUAAAAUUUUUACUUUUUAAAUAAAUAUUAAAAUAUCUUAAAAAUAAUAAAUUAUAUUUUUUAACACUAAUUAAAACAAAUAAUUUUCACAUUUAAUCUUGUUUUAGUUAAUAACAUGGACCAUUCGCUCACCACUUGGCAUAACUUUGUAACCUAGGUCCUGUUUGGAAUCGAAGUAUUAUACCUUUUAAGUUACAACUGCCGUAAAAAAGUUGUAAUUAUAAAAAAAAAAUUAAUAGCUGUGAACUUAAAGAUUGCUUACUAAACUUUAGGUAUUUAUUUAUUUAAUUAAUUGUCUAAAAUUUACUUGUUAAUGUUAUUGACAAUACGUAUGUAUUGAUUAAAAAGAUGAAGUAAGGUAUUGAUCUUAUUGAUCAACAGAAAUAUUUUAUACUAGAUUGACAUAUUUGUGUAUUUAUUUUAAUGUUAAAACUUUAAUUUCUCAUUUGUACUGAUAAAAUUUAGAAAUGGGUAUUCUAUGUAGAUUUUUAAGCUCCUAUUAUAAAUUUAUAGUUUGACUUAUAUAAUUUAAUUUAUUUUUUGUGUUUUAAAAGUAUUGUUUUAAUAUUUGUGUAGUAAAAACCCAUUGCAGGUUACGCGAGGAUUUAGUAAUUGUUAAAACCUACGGCAGUUGAUUUUUUUUUUUAAAUAAAAAACCCAUAGCGAGUUAAGAAUUUAUUGAUUUAAUUACUUUUUACAAGUGCAUGUUUGAUAAUGAUAAAAUCACUGCACUGAAAGAAAUUCUAUGAAGAAUAUAAUUAUUGGUCUGUAUUUUUAAUGAAAUUUACAGAAUUAUUUAUACAAAAUAAAGACAAAGUAACUGUUGAAAGGCUUAAUAAUAUUAAAGGAGAAUAAGUGAAUACUUCCUAAACUAUUGGACAAUAUCUUUAUAAAAUAGGAAUGAAAUAUUCCUACAUGAUAUUGACAUUCAUGUGCAAAAAUCGUGCCGGAGAUAUUUCUUGACAAAUAACUUUGACGGGAGCAAGUCGAGUGGAGUGAUAAGCCGGACAUUCUUGACUUGACCGUUAAUGACUAGCUAAACAGCAUAAAUAAAUGUAUAACGAUUCUUAUAUAAAAAGCCACCACCCCAAGCCAAAAGAAAAAAAAAAAUUGUGCUGAAUACAACAAUAUAAUUUCUUCAGUUUUUACUUGGAAACAAGAGAGAUGAAUAUGAAGAAGCAGAAGCAGAAGCCAAAAGCUAUUGUAGUUGGAGGAAGCAUUGCUGGGGAAUCAUGCGCAAAAGCACUUAUUUCAGCAGGAUGGGAUGUUGUUGUGAUUGAGAAAACUCGUGGAUCCCCAACCCAAAACCCAACCGGUGCUGGCCUUGGACUCGAUCCAUUGGCUCAGAAAAUUGUUCAGUCAUGGCUCCAUGAACCUGAACUUCUUUACAACAACACUUUACCUAUCACCAUUACUGAGGUAUAUAAUAUAAUAUAUUUAAUUUCUUUUUUCCCAGUAGAAUCCAGUAGUGCUUUGAAAUAUUUUUUUUUUUGGUUUUAACCACGAGGUAUCCUGGGGAGGGCCCCAACUGUGGGAGGCACCUUUAAGCCCGUACCACAACCCACACUCGAACUGGGAGGCACAGGUUCCCCCAACAAAAUUGACUUUCCUGCGACACGUGUAUACUUUGAAUUAUACUGAUCUCUUAAAGAUAUUAGUUGCACACUGUGUAUAUACAAUGGUGUAUGGUUAAGAUUUGAAAAAAGUAUAUUUUGUUCUGCACAAAAUACAAUUUAGAAUGGAAUCUCAUUGUGAAAAAAAUAUCUAUAUAUGUUGAAUAGAUAAAAUUUCAAUUUGUGUUUAAUUGCAGUACCUAGCAACAGACGGGGAAAAGAAGAUCAGCUGGGUAAUAGGAAGAGAAGAAGGCGCUAAGUUUCUGAAUGCAUAUUGGGCUGAUCUUCAUGGCCUUAUAUACAAUACUCUGCCACCUGAAAUAUUUUUAUGGGGUCACCAAUACCUCUCUUUCUGUAUUUCUGAAGACAAAUUAACUGUCAAAGUUAGAGCUAAGGAUCUUCAGACUGCUGAAAUAAUCGAGAUAGUAGGAGAUUUGCUCGUUGGAGCAGAUGGGAUCCUCUCAUCAAUUGGUCGGAGCAUUCUACCUGACUUCAAAUUGAGGUUUGUGCUUGCUUGUGAAUAUCAAUAAAAGUAAUUAAUUUUUGAGUAUUUUGUUUCUUAAAUUUCAAUGUGUUUUUAAUAGGUACGCAGGAUACUGUGCGUGGAGAGGUGUUUUUAAUUUUUCAGAAAGCAAUUCAGAAACCAUCUUAGGCUUUCGAAAAUCGUAUCCUGAUAUUGGGAAAUGCCUUUACAUUAAUAUUGGUUCAGGAUCUCACAUCAUAGUCACUGAGCUUAAGAAAGAGAAGCUCAAUUGGGUUUGGUAUGUCAAUCAACCUGAGCCCGAGCUCAAGGUAACCGCUUACUUUUGUUUCAUCUUUUUAUUUUGUUUUCCGGGGUUUUGGGUUGAGUGCUAAAAUCUAAUUUUUGCAAACGAUCAACAAAGCUCAGACCAUCACUGGAUCCAAUUUUUUUUUUUUAAUUUUAAUUUUCCGGUUUAUCAAUGCAGUAUGACGUGACAUUGGGAAACAAAUUAUUUUAUUCUCUGCAGGGAAAUACAACUUCUGUGAAAGUAAGCAGUGACAUGAUCGAGGAGUUGCACCAAAGAGCAGAGCAGGUUUGGUUACCUGAAUUGUCAAGAAUGAUCAAAGAAACAAAGGAUCCUUUCCUUAAUGCUAUAUAUGAUCGGGAUCCUUUGGAGAAAAUCUUCUGGGACAGAGUGGUGUUAACAGGAGAUGCAGCUCACCCGACAACUCCACACUCUGCCAGAAGCACAAACAUGGCGAUAAUAGAUGCAGCAGUGUUAGGAAAAUGCCUCGAGAAGUGGGGGCCGGAUCAUUUAUACUCUGCUCUGGAAGAAUAUGAAUCCAUUAGGAAGCCUGUAACUUCAGCACAAGUUCUAUAUGCGCGACGAUUGGGUCAAAUGAAACAGGGGUUAAGUAUUCCUGGAAGGGAGCGGCCUUUUGAUCCAAAGACAGCAAGUCUAGAGGACUCGGAAUUCAUCGUUAACAUAAAAGUGCCUCUUUUCGACGUUGUUCCUCCGAUUCUUGAUUCAAUUUUUCGUUCUGCUUGAUAACUUCAAAGGACACGGUUGGUCUGUUCAUUAUGCUAACUAUAGCUGCCUAUAAAUAAGAGGGUUGACCUCAAUUGUGUGAGUGAAAGAACUGCUAUACUUAUGUUCCUUCCUGUAAUAACGAAAGCCUCUUAAUUCAGUGUCUCUACUUCUUCAGCAAAAUAAAAAUAAAUUCUUGAUCGAAAUACACCCAACUUUUCUAUUUUUCUUAUAAAAAUGACACCACGAUAGGAUGGGAUUGUCCUUGUGUUGUGUCAUUGAUCUAUCCAUAUUUGUUUUUCCCAAAAACAAUUUCCAUGAAGGAGGAUGUUUUGCUGCUUGUUAGUGCACGCUAUUUAAGCACAAGACAUGAUUGAGAUUUAUGCAAGGUAUGUGGUAGAAUUUAUGUAAGACGACCGAUGAUUCAUAAGGAAAGCUAAACAUGAGGGCUAAUAACUUUUACUAUGGUGAUCAACGCGUUGAAGAAAAUUUUUAGAAUUUUUAUUAUAAGUGGUGCAUACAAAAGUUGGUGAGUCGAACUUGUACUCAAAUACUAGCUCAUGUAUUAGGAGUUGCCUUAGGCUUACGUUAUUAAUCUAGUAACUAAUAUUAGCGAUAUGAAACAUUUUUUCUAUCAUCUUCCAUCACAUGUGUGUAGGUCAAUAUUUUUGUUUGGUCCUUGUCUAGUGAUAAGAUAAUGUGAGUGAUUUUGAGAGAAAAUAUGAAAAACACAAACUAUGAAAAUUCCCUUUUACUUAAACUAUGACAGAUUUGUUUACACUGAAGUUGAUAGAAGACAAUCGAAUGCGCAGGAGUGAAAUCUUGACAAAUUAAAGCGAGAACUAAGACAUGCUAGUCCUUUCUCGCGCAUUUAGUUGGCAUUAUUUUGCGUUGCAAAUAAAUGCGGGCACGGUUGAAGGCAUUUUAUCUUUCCGGAAGUGGAUGGAGAAAUAAAUAUAAUUAAAAGGGAUGCGAAUAAUAAAUGCAAUUUUUUCUUAAUAACGAAGAAUAUAUUAGAAAUAAAUUGAAAUGUAACAAAAUACUUGAAAUAAUUCAAUUGAUGGGUUUUUUCUUUGUCAAUAACGCCCGAUAGUUCCUUGUCAUGAGCUUCUUAUCUUCUGUCUUGAAGGAAGAAAUUACGAAAGACAAAUAAAACGAUUUCCUUUACACAUUCAAUCAAUGCUGCUCAUCCAUAAGUUUCCCAUUUAAUAAUAAUAAUAAUACAAUACAGAUAGCUCAACAGCACCAACCAAAACUUCACCACCAGUCACGGUGAAAUGUGAGAUGCAUGCGCUGAUUUUUAUUUUUAUUUUAAUUUUUAUAAUUACUGAUCGAAUAACAUUCUUUUGUUUAAUUAUUUGUUUUGAAUAAACUAGAGAAUGACAUUUAAAAUAUCAAAUAUUAAAUUUAAUGAUUUGUUGAGAGUGGUAAGAGUAUCUUCGCAUAAAAACUAAAAGUUAGUUGGUUAGCUAGUUAUAAUAGAAAAAAAUUAAGGGACCAAUUUGAAAUAUUUGAGCUAGUUAUAUAAAUUUCCCAUAGAUUUUCACGUACCGUUAGUUUUAAGAAUUCAACUUUGACAUGAUUAUGAAUUCCAAAAAUUGAUUAAGAAGAAAGACAGAAACUUUAGCAAUGAUGCUGAAUCAAUCAUUCAUUUUAUUUAAAUUAUGACUGGUAAUGUUUGGGGUUGACGACGCCUCACCAACUGUCAGGCAAUUAUCGUUUCCAAAAGUUUUCCAGAUUCAGCCUGAAAAUUUAACGGGUGUAAAAAAAUAAUUGAGGAUGAGUCUUUCUUUGUUAUUAUAUCAAUUGUUUUAUAAUUUUAAGAAGAUGAAUCAGCAUUGUAAGCCAUCAUUUUCAUUUAUAAUAAAGUUAAUAUACAAAAUGACCGGUGAGGUACCACCAUACCGGGCGGUGCAUGGAAAGAUGGGGAAUUUGGGACUUCCAGUGCGGCGAGAGACUGAGCAUGAGGGUGCUGCAGCGGCUGGGCAUCACUUAUGAGGUGGCUACUUAAUGACCUGAUCAGUUGAGUUUUGGAGAAUUUGGAUUUUGGAUCAAUUAGUUAGGGAGUUGAGUGAGUUUUGUAACUUUAAGAAAAUAGAAUUUGACUGUAAUUAUUAGUUAUAUCUUUAUUUUUUUACGAUAAGUUUUAAUAAGAGUAAAUUUACAAUUAACUAUUAUUAUUUUUUUAAAAAAAAAACCUUAGCCUCCUCUUACCUCCGCCCUUGGUACCUGCUAAAACCAAAUACCCAAAUUAUGAAAACGAAGAGCGAGACGAUAUGUUACUGGAUUGUUAUCAAAAUUUGAAGCUAGAACUUAGCAAUUGCCCAAAGAUAAAGAUUUGCUAAGAUUUUAAGACCCACAGACUUUUUAGUACCAAUUUAUCUUCGUUCCUUCAAGAAUGAUGGUGAUUUGUAGAGCCAUGCCCUGUAUUCAAAAUAAACAAAUUUGAAGAAUAUAUCUGUUGAUUCUGGUAGGGCAGGAGUCUCAUGCACAAGUUUCUCAUCUAUUUUCUUACCAGAACAAAUUUCUAGUCAAAAUGAGGGCGUGAAAGGAAGAUAAAUAGACGAAAUUUGGCCCACCACUUCCUAAAUGAAUAGCUUUUUACCGUAUUAAACGAGGAAAAAUGGAUUAGAUUCUCCCUUAAUUUGAUCUGAUUAGUGAUUACUAAAUAAAGACCACAGACUUUAUUGUAGUGUGUUUCGUCAUUUAAUACAUUGAAGUUUGUAUGUGGCCCCAGUUUUAGAUCACUUAAUUGGAAAGGCACUUCCUUAAUUAUUUUUCAAAAGCACAUCCUAUAAGACUCCAACAGAUGGAGUCCAAGUUCUAGAAUAGAUGAAUAAAUGAUGUCAAUUAAAUGGCAAUAGCCCACCAAAGAAGACAAAGAAAACAAGUUAGGAGAGAUUUUACGGUAUACCAAAAGUACUACACUUAAUUAAUACAUAUACGCUAUAUGUGUAUUUAUUUUUAAAAAAUUAUCAUGUAAUUAAUAGUUAUAUUUAAUUAAACUAUACAUAUCAUACAUGUAUUAGUUAUAUGUAGCACCUAUAUUAUACUCUAGAAUUUCUCACAAGAUAAUAUGUCAAUAUACCACAAACACAAAGUUUGAAUCCUGUGAAAUAUGUUUAAAAUUGACUCUUGUAGAAAUUAUUAUGUGGUGGUGAAAUGAUUAUGAUAAAUAAUAUAUUAACACAUGUCAAUAUAUAAUUAUGCUACAUCAAUGAGGGUACCAUUGGUUUCACAUUUUUAUUUUACGUCUUAACUUUUGUAUUGACAAUAUUAGUUUUGUAUUUUAUACACAUAUAUAUAACUAGUAAGUUAUUUUUUGCAAUCAAUAAAUAUCUAAUAACUCAAUACUUUUAUAUUUAUGCUCAUAAAAUUUUUACUUUUUAAAUAAAUAUUAAAAUAUCUUAAAAAUAAUAAGUUAUAUUUUUUUAACACUAAUUAAAACAAAUAAUUUUCACAUUUAAUCUUGUUUUAGUUAAUAACAUGGACCAUUCGCUCACCACUUGGCAUAACUUUGUAACCUAGGUCCUGUUUGGAAUCGAAGUAUUAUACCUUUUAAGUUACAACUGUCGUAAAAAUUUUGUAAUUAUAAAACAAAAAAUUAAUAGCUGUGAACUUAAUGAUUGCUUACUAAACUUUAGGUAUUUAUUUAUUUAAUUAAUUGUCUAAAAUUUACUUGUUAAUGUUAUUGACAAUACUUAUGUAUUGAUUAAAAAGAUGAAGUAAGGUAUUGAUCUUAUUGAUCAACAGAAAUAUUUUAUACUAGAUUGACAUAUUUGUGUAUUUAUUUUAAUGUUAAAACUUUAAUUUCUCAUUUAUACUGAUAAAAUUUAGAAAUGGGUAUUAUAUGUAGAUUUUUAAGCUCCUAUUAUAAAUUUAUAGUUCGACUUAUAUAAUUUAAUUUAUUUUUUGUGUUUUUAAAAGUAUUGUUUUAAUAUUUGGGAAGUAAAAAUCCAUUGCAGGUUACGCGAGGAUUUAGAAACCUACAGCAGGUGAAUUUUUUUUAAAAAUAAAAAACCCAUAGCGAGUUAAGAAUUUACUGAUUUAAUUACUUUUUACAAGUGCAUGUUUGAUAAUGAUAAAAUCACUGCACUGAAAGAAUUUCUAUGAAGAAUAUAAGUCUUGUUCUGUAUUUUUAAUGAAAUUUACAGAAUUAUUUAUACAAAAUAAAGACAAAGUAGCCGUUGAAAGGCUUAAUAAUAUUAAAGGAGAAUAAGUGAAUACUUCCUAAACUAUUGCACAAUAUCUUUAUACAAUAGGAAUGAAAUAUUCGUACAUGAUAUUGACAUUCAAGUGCAAAAAUCGUGCCGGAGAUAUUCCUUGACAAAUAACUUUGAUGUGAGCAAGUCGUGUCACGUGUGGAGUGAUUAACCCGACUUGACCGUUAAUGACUUUCCUUUUGGUAAUCUUGGUCAGCUUUCUUAACAAGUGGUACCCAUAACCCAUCCAUACUGCUAGGCUAGGUAAACAGCAUAAAUAAAUGUAUAACGAUUCUUAUAUAAAAAGCCACCACCCCAAGCCAAAAGAAAAAAAAAAUUGUGCUGAAUACAACAAUAUAAUUUCUUCAGUUAUAUUUCCUUGGAAACAAGAGAGAUGAAUAUGAAGAAGCAGAAGCCAAAAGCUAUUGUAGUUGGAGGAAGCAUUGCUGGGGAAUCAUGCGCAAAAGCACUUGUUUCAGCAGGCUGGGAUGUUGUUGUGAUUGAGAAAACUCGUGGACCCCCAACCCAAAACCCAACCGGUGCUGGCCUUGGACUCGAUCCAUUGGCUCAGAAAAUUGUUCAGUCAUGGCUCCAUGAACCUGAACUUCUUUACAACAACACUUUACCUGUCACCAUUACUGAGGUAUAUAAUAUAAUAUAUUUAAUUUUUUUUUUCCCAGCAGAAUCCAGUAGUGCUUUGAAUUAUACUGAUCUCUUAAAGAUAUUAGUUGCACACGUGUAUAUACAAUGGUGUAUGGUUAAGAUUUGAUAAAAGUAUAUUUUGCUCUGCACAAAGUACAAUUUAGAAUGGAAUCUCAUUGGGAAAAAAAUGUAUAUAUGUUGAAUAGAUAAAAUUUCAAUUUGUAUUUAAUUGCAGAACCUAGCAACAGAUGGGGAAAAGAAGAUCAGCUGGGUAAUAGGAAGAGAAGAAGGCGCUAAAUAUCUGACUGCAUAUUGGGCUGAUCUUCAUGGCCUUAUAUACAAUACUCUGCCACCUGAAAUAUUUUUAUGGGGUCACCAGUACCUCUCUUUCUGUAUUUCUGAGGACAAAUUAACUGUCAAAGUUAGAGCUAAGGAUCUUGAGACUGAUGAAAUAAUCGAGAUAGUAGGAGAUUUGCUCGUCGGAGCAGAUGGGAUCCUCUCAUCAAUUGGUCGGAGCAUUCUACCUGACUUCAAAUUGAGGUUUGUGCUUGCUUGUGAAUAUCAAUAAAAGUAAUUAAUUUUUGAGUAUUUUGUUUCAUAAAUUUCAAUGUGUUUUUAAUAGGUACACAGGAUACUGUGCGUGGAGAGGUGUUUUUAAUUUUUCAGAAAACGAUUCAGAAACCAUCUUAGGCAUUCGAAAAUCGUAUCCUGAUAUUGGGAAAUGCCUUUACACGAAUAUUGGUUCAGGAUCUCACAUCAUAGUCACUGAGCUUAAGAAAGAGAAGUUCAAUUGGGUUUGGUAUGUCAAUCAACCUGAGCCCGAGCUCAAGGUAACUGCUUACUUUUGUUUCAUCUUUUUAUUUUGUUUCCGGGGUUUUGGGUUGAGUGCUAAAAUCUAAUUUUUGCAAACGAUCAACACAGCUCAGACCAUCACUGGAUCCAUUUUUUUUUUAAUUUUAAUUUUCCGGUUUACCAAUGCAGUAUGACGUGACAUUGGGAAACAAAUUAUUUUAUUCUCUGCAGGGAAAUACAACUUCUGUGAAAGUAAGCAGUGACAUGAUCGAGGAGUUGCACCAAAGAGCAGAGCAGGUUUGGUUACCUGAAUUGUCAAGAAUGAUCAAAGAAACAAAGGAUCCUUUCCUUAAUGCUAUAUAUGAUUGCGAUCCUUUGGAGAAAAUCAUCUGGGACAGAGUGGUGCUAACAGGAGAUGCAGCUCACCCGACAACUCCACACUCUGCCAGAAGUACAAACAUGGCGAUAAUAGAUGCAGCAGUGUUAGGAAAAUGCCUCGAGAAGUGGGGGCCGGAUCAUUUGUACUCUGCUCUGGAAGAAUAUCAAUCCAUUAGGAAACCUGUAACUUCAGCACAAGUUCUACAUUCGCGACGAUUGGGUCAAAUGAAACAAGGGUUAAGUAUUCCUGGAAGGGAGCGGCCUUUUGAUCCAAGGACAGCAAGUCUAGAGGACUCGGAAUUCAUCGUUGUGCCUCCUUUCGACGUUGUUCCUCCGAUUCUUGAUUCAAUUUUUCGUUCUGCUUGAUAACUUCAAAGGACACGGCUUGGUUUGUUCAUUAUGCUAACUAUAGCUGCCUAUAAAUAAGAGGGUUGACCUCAAUUGUGUGAGUAAAAGAACUGCUAUACUUAUGUUCCUUCCUGUAAUAACGAAAGCCUCUUACUUAAUUCAGUGUCUCUACUUCUUCAGCAAAAUAAAAAUAAAUUCUUGAUCGAACUAAACCCAACUUUUCCAAUUUUCUUAUAAAAAUGACACCACGAUAGGAUGGGAUUGUCCUUGUGUUGUGUCAUUGAUCUAUCCAUAUUUGUUUUUCCCAAAAACAAUUUCCUUGAAGGAGGAUGUUUUGCUGCUUGUUAGUGCACGCUAUUUAAGCACAAGACAUGAUUGAGAUUUAUGCAAGGUAUGUGGUAGAAUUUAUGUAAGACGACCGAUGAUUCAUAAGGAAAGCUAAACAUGAGAGUUAGUAACUUGUACUAUGGUGAUCAACGCGUUGAAGAAAAAUUUUAGAAUUUUUAUUAUAAGUGGUGCAUACAAAAGUUGGUGAGUCGAACUUGUACUCAAACACUAGCUCAUGCAUUAGGAGUUGCCUUAGGCUUACGUUAUUAAUCUAGUAACUAAUAUU
rnacentral:lncRNA from 1 species